UAAUUGUCGACUAAAUAAUAGACCAUUGUGAUUAAAAUAGCGGUUCUUCGGAUUUAUCUUAGUGUAGAGUAAGUUAAGUUAAAAAAAAAACAUAAUUCCUUCUCUUGCUGAAACUCAACCUACAAAUCUUUGACGAUGUCUUACUUUCUUGCAGUUAACCACUAUUAAAACCUGACAACCUGAUUAUUUCUUCAAACAAGUUAUGGAUCAAUUUUCCCUGAAAGACACUGUUGAAAAUUAGUAGAUUGACAAAUUAUCAAGUUUUUAAUAGUGGGUAGAAAUGUGGACACACUAUCAAAUUUUGAAUGUUACGAAAUAUUCUUUAAAUUUCAACAAGCUGCUAACCACAUGUUCUAAACUCAAAACACCAAAAACACUGAAAACUUUUCAGGGACCAAUAGCAAAGUAUAAAGUCUUGAGGACUAACUUCGAAAUAUGAAGAUUUGGUGUACAAACUUCAAAAAAAUGAAAGAUUUGGAGACCAAUAUCGUGAGAACAAAGUACACAAAUUGAAUAAUAAUAAAUUGAUCUUAUAAGAAGCCCCCUUUCAUUGGGCCUUCGUAGAAGUUUCACAGAAAAUUACAACUCUCUCUUUUCUCUCUUAUCAGUAAAUAACAAUUUUCUCGCCGUCGAGUCCUCUCUCCGACGAUGGAAGAAGACGAUGAUGAAGACAUUACUAGUAGAAUAUCAGAAGCCUAGAUUGGAUUGGGAGGCAUUGGAAAUUUUAGGUUGCUGUUAGUGUAUAACGGCGUGCACCUGCUGUGAAGCAAAAGAAAAAAUCACUCAUAUGAAUCGAUAAUUGAUUCAACUUGCACCCCAAGACAUUAUCAACUACUACGCACAUCAUUAUUCGUCUUGGGGUAAAAUCGACGCAGCUGGAUGCUAUACUUGUUCUAUCAUCAGAGCCUUUGAGUGUAUAAAGCAAAGAGGGGGUGAUGUACAAAAGGGAUUGCCCCUUCCAUAAGAGCAAAAAGGACUGCAUGGUGCGGACGGAGAACACACCAAUAUAUCAGAUACUGGGUUAUGAGAAAAUUAAAACUGAGGACGAAUAAACUUUGCUAUCGCGUGUCAUUGAUCACCCCAUCGGUGUUGUGAUAAAAGUCAGACUUGAAUUAAAGAAGCUCAAGGACGGAGGGUUUACAGGGUUCCCGACAAGGGUGGAGAUGCACGUUAUUGUUAUCGUUGGGUAUGAUGUAAAGGAUGUGAUCAAUUAUUAAAAAGUAAUAAACAGUUGGAGCAUGCAGUGGGGAGAGGAUGACUACGGUCUAAUAUGCCGAGAUUCCAGUUUACAUUCCAACAACAAAUCACUUCUAAUUGGAGUUUCCUAUCCGAUUCUUAGGCGGAGAGAUUUACAGGGUUCCUGACAAGGGUGGAGAUGGGUUGCACGCUGUUAUCGUUGGGUAUGGUGUAAAAGAUGUGAUCAAUUAUUGGAAAAUAAUGAACAGUUGGGGCAUGCAGUGGGGAGAUGAUGACUACGGUCUAAUAUGCUGAGAUUCCAAAUUACCAACAAAUCACUUCUAACUAAAGUUUCCUAUCCGAUUCUUAGUAUGUAAUAUAUCUGGUCUAUUUAAAAUACUUCGACUA